rnacentral:rRNA from 1 species
GGUGCUAAUACCGGAUAAGAAAGCGGAUCGCAUGAUCAGCUUUUAAAAGGCGGCGUAAGCUGUCGCUAUGGGAUGGCCCCGCGGUGCAUUAGCUAGUUGGUAAGGUAAAGGCUUACCAAGGCGAUGAUGCAUAGCCGAGUUGAGAGACUGAUCGGCCACAUUGGGACUGAGACACGGCCCAAACUCCUACGGGAGGCAGCAGCA